GUGACAAGAGUGAAACUCCAUCUCAAAAAAAAAAUCAGAAGGAACCCCAGCUGCGGUUGGAGUCCUAGGACAAUAUGCAGACCAAGCUUUUUAGGCCUUCUCUUGCGGAAGGCCCAUCUACUGGGCAAUCAGAGAGGGCCAGGAGGCUCCAGAACUGCAGGAGAGUGGACUAGUCCAUGCCCUCCAUCACUUCCCUUUCCCCAGGAUUGUUUUCUACAAUCUCUUGCAUUUGCACUGGACUUUAUGACUUGCAAAGCUCCUGCAUGGGAGGUAGGGUACAGUUAGUCUUUUCCAAUUCCCAUUUUACAGAAGAAGAAACUGAGAACUGGGAACCGUGUGACUAACCUAGGUGGCACAGCUAAUAAGUGAUAAGAAUGAAAAUCUAACCCAGCUUGGUGUACAGUGUCCCUCUCCCCUCACCUGCUGCUGCCUCUAAGCUCUAUGGUAAGGGGAAUAGUAAGGAGGUCAGUGUAUCCAUCCAUGCCGCCAUGUGACCUACAGACCAUGCCCAAAGCUUUGAGCCAAAGGACUCCAGCUUGAGAGAGAACUCAAGUUGUAGUUUGAGUGAGAUCAAACAUGAGUAAGGGCAGGAGCUUCAUGUCAGGAUAAAACACCAGCAGAAGUACAACACAAGGCAGGAUUCAGGCAAACGCUGACGAGGAGGGCACACAGAAGGACCCAGGCAAGCUGGGCAGAUCAAAAUGACUAUAUGUAUUAGUUCCCUAGGGCUGCUCUAACAAAAACACCACAAUUAGGUGACUUAAAACAGAAAUGGAUUGUGUCACAAUUCUGGAGGCUAGAAGUCUGAAGCCAAGAUGUCAGAAGAGCUGUGUUCUCUUGGAAGGCUCUCAGGGUGGGGGUGGGGAGGGCAGGAUUCUUCUGCGCUUCCUCCUAGCUCCUGGUGUUUGCUGGUAAUCUUUGGUGUUGCUUGGCUUAUGGCAGCAUAACUCCAAUCUCUGCCUCCAUCUUCACAUGACCGUAUAAGGACAACAGUCAUUGGAUUAAGGCCUAUCCUAACCCAGUAUGACCUCAUUGGAACUCAACUAUGUCUGCAAAGACCCUGUUUCCAAAUAAAGUCACAUUCACAGGCUACCCUGUUCCAGAUCUGAUGGGCCCAUCUGUAGAAGGAGACUGGACUGGAGCUUCCCUUCCAACUUCAUCUUACUCCACCCCAAACCUUCGCUCCCAGUGCCUCGGGGCAGCCAGCUCAACCCUGGGUGGCAGAUAAGGAACCACCCCUAAAAGAGAAAGUCCUUGGCUGCGGCAUGGCAUGGGUUGGUGGUGG